rnacentral:rRNA from 1 species
GGGUUGUGAGGUUAAGCGACUAAGCGUACACGGUGGAUGCCCUGGCAGUCAGAGGCGAUGAAGGACGUGCUAAUCUGCGAUAAGCGUCGGUAAGGUGAUAUGAACCGUUAUAACCGGCGAUUUCCGAAUGGGGAAACCCAGUGUGUUUCGACACACUAUCAUUAACUGAAUCCAUAGGUUAAUGAGGCGAACCGGGGGAACUGAAACAUCUAAGUACCCCGAGGAAAAGAAAUCAACCGAGAUUCCCCCAGUAGCGGCGAGCGAACGGGGAGCAGCCCAGAGCCUGAAUCAGUGUGUGUGUUAGUGGAAGCGUCUGGAAAGGCGCGCGAUACAGGGUGACAGCCCCGUACACAAAAAUGCACAUGCUGUGAGCUCGAUGAGUAGGGCGGGACACGUGGUAUCCUGUCUGAAUAUGGGGGGACCAUCCUCCAAGGCUAAAUACUCCUGACUGACCGAUAGUGAACCAGUACCGUGAGGGAAAGGCGAAAAGAACCCCGGCGAGGGGAGUGAAAAAGAACCUGAAACCGUGUACGUACAAGCAGUGGGAGCACGCUUAGGCGUGUGACUGCGUACCUUUUGUAUAAUGGGUCAGCGACUUAUAUUCUGUAGCAAGGUUAACCGAAUAGGGGAGCCGAAGGGAAACCGAGUCUUAACUGGGCGUUAAGUUGCAGGGUAUAGACCCGAAACCCGGUGAUCUAGCCAUGGGCAGGUUGAAGGUUGGGUAACACUAACUGGAGGACCGAACCGACUAAUGUUGAAAAAUUAGCGGAUGACUUGUGGCUGGGGGUGAAAGGCCAAUCAAACCGGGAGAUAGCUGGUUCUCCCCGAAAGCUAUUUAGGUAGCGCCUCGUGAAUUCAUCUCCGGGGGUAGAGCACUGUUUCGGCAAGGGGGUCAUCCCGACUUACCAACCCGAUGCAAACUGCGAAUACCGGAGAAUGUUAUCACGGGAGACACACGGCGGGUGCUAACGUCCGUCGUGAAGAGGGAAACAACCCAGACCGCCAGCUAAGGUCCCAAAGUCAUGGUUAAGUGGGAAACGAUGUGGGAAGGCCCAGACAGCCAGGAUGUUGGCUUAGAAGCAGCCAUCAUUUAAAGAAAGCGUAAUAGCUCACUGGUCGAGUCGGCCUGCGCGGAAGAUGUAACGGGGCUAAACCAUGCACCGAAGCUGCGGCAGCGACGCUUAUGCGUUGUUGGGUAGGGGAGCGUUCUGUAAGCCUGUGAAGGUGUGCUGUGAGGCAUGCUGGAGGUAUCAGAAGUGCGAAUGCUGACAUAAGUAACGAUAAAGCGGGUGAAAAGCCCGCUCGCCGGAAGACCAAGGGUUCCUGUCCAACGUUAAUCGGGGCAGGGUGAGUCGACCCCUAAGGCGAGGCCGAAAGGCGUAGUCGAUGGGAAACAGGUUAAUAUUCCUGUACUUGGUGUUACUGCGAAGGGGGGACGGAGAAGGCUAUGUUGGCCGGGCGACGGUUGUCCCGGUUUAAGCGUGUAGGCUGGUUUUCCAGGCAAAUCCGGAAAAUCAAGGCUGAGGCGUGAUGACGAGGCACUACGGUGCUGAAGCAACAAAUGCCCUGCUUCCAGGAAAAGCCUCUAAGCAUCAGGUAACAUCAAAUCGUACCCCAAACCGACACAGGUGGUCAGGUAGAGAAUACCAAGGCGCUUGAGAGAACUCGGGUGAAGGAACUAGGCAAAAUGGUGCCGUAACUUCGGGAGAAGGCACGCUGAUAUGUAGGUGAAGUCCCUCGCGGAUGGAGCUGAAAUCAGUCGAAGAUACCAGCUGGCUGCAACUGUUUAUUAAAAACACAGCACUGUGCAAACACGAAAGUGGACGUAUACGGUGUGACGCCUGCCCGGUGCCGGAAGGUUAAUUGAUGGGGUCAGCGCAAGCGAAGCUCUUGAUCGAAGCCCCGGUAAACGGCGGCCGUAACUAUAACGGUCCUAAGGUAGCGAAAUUCCUUGUCGGGUAAGUUCCGACCUGCACGAAUGGCGUAAUGAUGGCCAGGCUGUCUCCACCCGAGACUCAGUGAAAUUGAACUCGCUGUGAAGAUGCAGUGUACCCGCGGCAAGACGGAAAGACCCCGUGAACCUUUACUAUAGCUUGACACUGAACAUUGAGCCUUGAUGUGUAGGAUAGGUGGGAGGCUUAGAAGUGUGGACGCCAGUCUGCAUGGAGCCGACCUUGAAAUACCACCCUUUAAUGUUUGAUGUUCUAACGUGGACCCGUAAUCCGGGUUGCGGACAGUGUCUGGUGGGUAGUUUGACUGGGGCGGUCUCCUCCUAAAGAGUAACGGAGGAGCACGAAGGUUGGCUAAUCCUGGUCGGACAUCAGGAGGUUAGUGCAAUGGCAUAAGCCAGCUUGACUGCGAGCGUGACGGCGCGAGCAGGUGCGAAAGCAGGUCAUAGUGAUCCGGUGGUUCUGAAUGGAAGGGCCAUCGCUCAACGGAUAAAAGGUACUCCGGGGAUAACAGGCUGAUACCGCCCAAGAGUUCAUAUCGACGGCGGUGUUUGGCACCUCGAUGUCGGCUCAUCACAUCCUGGGGCUGAAGUAGGUCCCAAGGGUAUGGCUGUUCGCCAUUUAAAGUGGUACGCGAGCUGGGUUUAGAACGUCGUGAGACAGUUCGGUCCCUAUCUGCCGUGGGCGCUGGAGAACUGAGGGGGGCUGCUCCUAGUACGAGAGGACCGGAGUGGACGCAUCACUGGUGUUCGGGUUGUCAUGCCAAUGGCACUGCCCGGUAGCUAAAUGCGGAAGAGAUAAGUGCUGAAAGCAUCUAAGCACGAAACUUGCCCCGAGAUGAGUUCUCCCUGACUCCUUGAGAGUCCUGAAGGAACGUUGAAGACGACGACGUUGAUAGGCCGGGUGUGUAAGCGCAGCGAUGCGUUGAGCUAACCGGUACUAAUGAACCGUGAGGCUUAACCUUACAACGCCGAAGGUGUUU